ensembl:snoRNA
AGGCACUUGUUUGAACCUGAAUGGCGUUUUCAUUGUCCAUUCACUAAGGUCAAAAGCAGUGCAACAUCAUGUCUUGUCAUAACUGGGGUUUCUUGGCAAUUUCACCAAGUCUCUCUUUUAAAGCAAGGCACAGAA